CCUACGGGUGGCAGCAGUCGAGAAUCAUGCACAAUGGGGGAAACCCUGAUGGUGCGACGCCGCGUGGGGGAAUGAAGUUCUUCGGAUUGUAAACCCCUGUCAUGUGGGAGCAAAUUAAAAAGAUAGUACCACAAGAGGAAGAGUCGACUAACUCUGUGCCAGCAGCCGCGGUAAUACAGCGGUCUCAAGCGUUGUUCGGAAUCACUGGGCGUAAAGCGUGCGUAGGCUGUUUCGUAAGUCGUGUGUGAAAGGCGCGGGCUCAACCCGCGGACGGCACAUGAUACUGCGAGACUAGAGUAAUGGAGGGGGAAGCGGAAUUCUCGGUGUAGCAGUGAAAUGCGUAGAUAUCGAGAGGAACACUCGUGGCGAAGGCGGGUUCCUGGACAUUAACUGACGCUGAGGCACGAAGGCCAGGGGAGCGAAAAGGAUUAGAUACCCUUGUAGUC
rnacentral:rRNA from 1 species